AUCAGAUGCUGGUGUGUGUGUCCACUAUUUCCUGCUCUGGAUCCCUGAACUGUCUCUGACUCAUUCUUGGUCGGCUAAGUAUGAGGUCUCACUCUGUCAUGCAUGAUGGACUGCAGUGGUGCAAUCAUGGCUCACUGUAGCUUCGACCACCCUGGCUCCGGUCAUCAUCCUACCUCAGCCUCCCAGGUAUGUGGGAUUACAGGUAUGUGCUAACAUGCUCAGCUAAUUUUUAAUUUUUUGUGGAAACAGGAUUUUGCCAUGUUGCUCAAGAUGAUCUCAAACUCCUGGCCUCAGGCAAUCCUUCUGCCUCAGCCUCCCAUCCUUCCCCCACAUACUGAGGCAAAGAUACAGGUGUGAACCACUGAAACUAUCAAAAGGGAAAAUUACAACACCUUUACUUAUACAGAUAAUUGGCUUUUAUUUGCAAGUCAUGAAGGAGCAUCCUCCAUUCUACAAAAUGGAGUGAUAGAUCCCACUGGCAAGUAGUAGAACGGUGGAUUUUGUAUGGUGAGAGCAAAGAUAUGAAACAACAGAAAAAUGACUAGUUGACAUGAGGUUACUUUUUUGAAAGGGAUAAAGCAGAGUAUGGUUCGUUAUUGCACUGAAUUGGGUAGACUGUAAUCUCUUGUUUUCAGAAAAAAAAGAUGGCUUUCAGGAUCUAUCUCUUUCCCUCAUAUUUCAGAUUAAUUUACCUGAUAUUAUGUGAAACUUAGCAUGAGUGACUCCAUUUUAGUUUGACCUGGUCUGUUGCUGCCUAAUUUUGGAGCUCAAUACAAAACCAUGGCCCCAUCAUUUUUGUUUGGCAGCACUGAAAACUAAAAUACACAAUUUUCACUGAUUCUCUGAGUCUUUAUUUCUUAAGGCUCUUAUGUCACCUGAAACUUCGUUGAAUAAAUUUGUUAUGUUUUUCCCUUGUUAAUUUGUUUUUAUUCAUAGUGGUGUCAGUCAUCAACCUUGUGAUCACUGAGGAAAAGAUACAAUAAUCCUUGCCUAUCCGAACUGGGAUCCUAAAAAUUAUGGAACGAAUUGUAGAAACUCAAGCAACUUUCUCCAAAGCCUAGGGUUCAGCAAGAGUAAGCAAGAGGCACUGAGCCGCUGGAGUCUGCACAUUGAUAAAUUUACUUACAGUCGUAAAUAAAUUGCAUCAUCUUCAGCUAGUAACACAGAGUCUAAUUUUUAUAGCGGCAUACUUGCCUCCACGACUUUCCUAGACACCAGAAAGAAAGGCGAGAGCCAGCCUUAGCCUAAUCAAGAACCAUGAUCCAAAAAGGAGUGGGAGGAACCUAGCGGCCACGUGGGAAUCCCAGCCCUCCUAUUAAGCCUACCCUCUUUGCAAAUUGUGACUGUGAGCUCCUGGUUUACAGAAAUAUAUCCCAGAACUCAAGCAACAUGAGCCACUAUAAUUGUCUCUGGAAGGUGACCCAUUUGCAGAUAGGGACUUCCCUGAAGGUUGGGGCCCUCAUGAGCUAUGCUUUCCACCAAGUUGUCUCUAUAAGGACCAGUUCCAGGACCUCAGGGAGGAAAUUUCACUUUCUGCCUUGGUGGAAUGUGAAGUGAGUGGCUCCCCGGCCACACCCCACCCUCCAUAAAAUAGAAGGUAAAUCCCAACUGCCAAAAGCUUUUUGUCCUCCUCUCAGGGAUACUAAUUAAAGCAGUUGGGCUACUUUUUCAUGCAUUUCAUCUCAAGUUGUCUUUCUGCCUAUCUCCUGAGCCCAGCGAAAGAGUUCCUUAAAAUAACCCUCAAACCUCUGUAGUAAAGGACCACACAAAUAACGAAUGCCAUGAAAAAACAGGGCUAGAGGUUUCAGAGGAUGAGAAAGGAAGAGCAGCCAGAACACUGGCUGUCUAGGUAUGCUACUGGUGCCUGACUCUGCACCUGUGUGUGUCUGUGUGCUGUGUUCCAAUGGCAGAGCAUCGGGGCCACCAGAACUCUCUCAGCUACCGCACAUGGAGAGGGAGGAGUGAUAAAGAGAAAUCAAGAAACUCAGUUUCUUUGAAAUGGAAAUCAAUAAACUCAGUUUCCUCAAAGUUCAAAAUACAUGAGACUGCCUACCCUCCUUGGAAGGCAAGGUGGGGCUUUCUGAAGCAAAUACCAGCUUUAAAAAAAAAUGUAUAUAUAUAUGAAGAUAUAUACAAAAAAAAAAUUUCCCCACAACCAGACAAUCAGAAUCAUCAAACCCAGAAGGGUUAAAGAAAAAGAAAAGGCCCAGGAAAGUAUGAUUGGUGGGGAUCAAAAGUAUCUCUCCACAGUGGUAAAUGAGAAUUCUCAAAAAGAGUAAAAUUAUAAUUCUCAUGCACAUAUAAAAUAAAUAUGUAUUACAGAUUUUACUUAAACCAUAUAGCUCAAAAUUAGCUAACAAGGAAGACAUUAUAACCUGUUCAAAGAGAAGCCAAAGAAGGGAAAUUUAUAUGCUGUAAAGAAAUAUUUAAAGGAAUAUGGCAAAACUGACUCUUAAUAGGAGAUGCCCUAUGUGGUACAUAAUUUGUUUGUGUAUCUACACACAUGAAUUAUUUUGCACUUGUAUCACUAUCUACAACUUACACUGUUGUAAAGUAACUCCCACACAAUCAGAAUCAUAUAACCCAAAAAGGUAUCUUCCCUAACCAAACAAGGUUUUCCAAUAAAGCACUAUUUUG
rnacentral:lncRNA from 10 species